rnacentral:rRNA from 1 species
AGUGAACGCUGGCGGUAGGCCUAACACAUGCAGUCGGACCGCAGCACCGUAAGCGCUUGCCCUUACGGGUGGCGAGUGGCCGGCGGGUGAGGAAUACAUCGGAAUCUACUUUUUCGUGGGGGAAAACGUAGGGAAACUUACGCUAAUACCGCAUUAGAUCUAAGGGUGAAAGCCAGGGGUCUUCGGACCUUGCGCGAUUGCAUGAGCCGAUGUCGGAUUAGCUAGUUGGCGGGGUAAAGGCCCACCAAGGCGACGAUCCGUAGCUGGUCUGAGAGGAUGAUCAGCCACACUGGAACUGAGACACGGUCCAGACUCCUACGGGAGGCAGCAGUGGGGAAUAUUGGACAAUGGGCGCAAGCCUGAUCCAGCCAUACCGCGUGGGUGAAGAAGGCCUUCGGGUUGUAAAGCCCUUUUGUUGGGAAAGAAAAGCAGCAGGUUAAUACCCCGCUGUUCUGACGGUACCCAAAGAAUAAGCACCGGCUAACUUCGUG